GGCUUCACCUUGACAAUUGCAUCUUCAGAGCAAAGUCUGUUCAUUUUCUUCUUUUUUUGCUCGACAUAUUUAGUAUGGAUUAAAAUAUUAAGAAAGAAACCACGUGACGUACAACUACGACAGCCGCUGAUACUGCGUGCACUACAUUCCCCGCAGCACUGAUUGGCCGAGCAAUGCAACAUGAUCCUCUGCAGCAAGUGACGGCCAAGCGGGGCGUGUCAUCACGACUUUACAGAAGUGUGUCUUUACCUCCGCGGCAGAGGCUCCGCCGAACCCUCUGAGACCGACUCAUCGAACCCCUGGGGUUCGAUCGAACCCAGGUUAAGAACCACUGUACUAGAGACUCCUAAGGAAGAGCAGUGUGAUGUGCCUCUG